UACAGAGGUCCCAAGCGUUGUUCGGAUUCAUUGGGCGUAAAGGGUGCGUAGGUGGCGCCGUAAGUCGGGUGUGAAAUUUCGGAGCUUAACUCCGAAACUGCAUUCGAUACUGCGGUGCUUGAGGACUGGAGAGGGGACUGGAAUUCAUGGUGUAGCAGUGAAAUGCGUAGAGAUCAUGAGGAAGACCAGUGGCGAAGGCGGGUCUCUGGACAGUUCCUGACACUGAGGCACGAAGGCCAGGGGAGCAAACGGG
rnacentral:rRNA from 1 species